rnacentral:rRNA from 1 species
UACGAAGGGGGCUAGCGUUGUUCGGAAUUACUGGGCGUAAAGCGUGCGCAGGCGGUCUUGCAAGUCAGAUGUGAAAUCCCCGGGCUUAACCUGGGAACUGCAUUUGUGACUGCAAGGCUGGAGUACGGUAGAGGGGGAUGGAAUUCCGCGUGUAGCAGUGAAAUGCGUAGAUAUGCGGAGGAACACCGAUGGCGAAGGCAAUCCCCUGGACCUGUACUGACGCUCAUGCACGAAAGCGUGGGGAGCAAACAGG